CUGUCUCCUUUCUCUAAUCAGUGAAACUAAUCUCCCCGUGAAGAAGCGGGGAUACCACCAUAAGACGAGAAGACCCCAUGGAGCUUUAAACCCAACUACACCCCUACUUUCCAUACCCACUCAACCAACAGGGCCCUGUACGCUUGGUUUUAGGUUGGGGUGACCACGGAGUAAAAUUAAACCUCCACGAUGAACGGGAAUACCCUCUUAUCUAAGAGCCACACCUCUAAGAAUUAGUAUACUAACAUAAAAUGAUCCGAUACUCGAUCAACGAACCAAGUUACCCUGGGGAUAACAGCGCAAUCCAUUUCAAGAGCCCCUAUCGACAAAUGGGUUUACGACCUCGAUGUUGGAUCAGGAUACCCCAGUGGUGCAGCAGCUACUAAAGGUUCGUUUGUUCAACGAUUAAAAUCCU
rnacentral:rRNA from 1 species